UACGGGGGGGGCAAGCGUUGUUCGGAAUUACUGGGCGUAAAGGGCUCGUAGGCGGCCAACUAAGUCAGACGUGAAAUCCCUCGGCUUAACCGGGGAACUGCGUCUGAUACUGGAUGGCUAGAGGUUGGGAGAGGGAUGCGGAAUUCCAGGUGUAGCGGUGAAAUGCGUAGAUAUCAGGAGGAACACCAAUUGCGAAGGCAGCUCGCUGGGACGUUACUGACGCUGAGGAGCGAAAGCGUGGGUAGCAAACAGG
rnacentral:rRNA from 1 species